CUGGUUCUUGUAAGUUAUUAUCAUAAGUUUCAAACAGGCAGCGUCGAUGCAGCGUUGGUCUAUAAUUUUUUCAUUUGAGCUUUACAGUGUCUGUAAAAAUUUUGAUAUCCAUGGAGCUUACAAUAUAUGAAUAUGUAAAAUUUUCAUUUGAGCAAAAUAGUGUACGUUUUUAAUCUUUAGACCUAAAUGAGCCAAUUGAUGCUAAAACUUGCCAUUGUCUUAUGCCUAUAUGUUAUCAUAACGAUUGAGCUUUCAUUGUUUGUUUCAAUAUGCACAUAUUAUGGUACUUUUAAUAACUAGACUGCACAUAUUAUGGUACUUUUAAUAACUAGACUUAUUUUUGGGCUUUAUUGUUGAUUAUGAAAUGCUUCUAG
rnacentral:misc_RNA from 1 species